rnacentral:rRNA from 1 species
UACGAAGGGGGCGAGCGUUGUUCGGAUUUACUGGGCGUAAAGGGCGCGCAGGCGGCUAUCCAAGUCAGGCGUGAAAGCCCCGGGCUUAACCUGGGAGGUGCGUCUGGGACUGGGUGGCUAGAGUUCGGGAGAGGAGAGUGGAAUUCCCAGUGUAGAGGUGAAAUUCGUAGAUAUUGGGAAGAACACCAGUGGCGAAGGCGGCUCACUGGCCCGUAACUGACGCCGAGGUGCGAAAGCGUGGGGAGCAAACAGG